GGUAGGAGCGAAAGGGACGUCCGCAGAGGAGACGACUGGCGUUUGACGCCUUGCAAGAAAAGAGGGGAAAACCAAGUUCCCAGAGAGGGUCACGAUUGGUCGCGCUUCUUGUGACGUCCAAUGGCAGAGGCCAAAGGGAUUCCGAGGGCAGUCUCGCGGGAAAGAGGCGAGGCAGCCUGACGUCCGUUACCCAAAGUAUAGCUCUGGUCGCCUCUGAAAUUGUCUUAGUUUUUCUUUUUGACCUCUUUGUCCCCUAAUCCUCUUCCAAUAUGAUAUUCUUGCUGGGCUCUUUCUCCCUGUGGUUUGCUGAAUCAAUCACCUAACCCAAAGCCUCAAGCUUUUAAUCAGCAAAAAUGUUUUGCAGGAGGCUGAAGAGCCACCUCACAGAGAUUUCUGCCUCAUCCCAGAGUAAGAAAACCCAGACAUUCCCUGAUCCUCAAGCCAGGCCUGUCAAUACGGAAGCCAUAAAACUGAAAACCAAAUAUCCCAGUGGACAAAGAACAUCUCCAAGUCCCCGUGAUGCUAGGACCUGACAUCUCUUGCUUCCCCUGUUGGCACUUCAGAAAUUCCCCAACCUGAUUAACACAGCCCUGGGAAAGGGAGAGGGCCUCAGUUGAUAAGAUUAUUGUCACUGCAGCUGAGUGAGGGCUUGAAAAAGAAAGAAAGCUCAGUUACAGAAAAACUUCUAUUUGUUACCUAUUUUGAGUUUGUAGACUGAAGUUCAUUCCUGCUAUGCUGUUACCUGUGAGUGUGAACUAGUAGCCACUAGUUUUUAAGUUCAGUAAUAUAAGAAUUUUCCCUUUA